GCGAGAGCUAGCAAAUCCCAUAAACCGUGGCUCAGUUCAGAUCGUAGGCUGCAACUCGCCUACGUGAAGGAGGAAUCGCUAGUAAUCGCAGGUCAGCAUACUGCGGUGAAUACGUUCCCGGGCCUUGUACACACCGCCCGUCACACCAUGGAAGUUGGCCACGCCCGAAGCCGUUACUCCAACCCUUGUGGAGGAGGACGUCGAAGGUGGGGCUGAUGACUGGGGUGAAGUCGUAACAAGGUAGCCGUACCGGAAGGUGCGGCUGGAUCACCUCCUAA
rnacentral:rRNA from 1 species